AUUUAUGAAGAAAGAAUUAUAAAUUUUGGUGACUUUUUCUUUGACCUCAGUGCAGUAUCUAUUGUAAUCAGGAAACAUCUUGAACUUGAAGAUGUUAUUCGCAUCAUCAUAUUGCAAUUACCGACUUUAGCUCAAUAAAAAGACACUUGCAGUGCAUGGCAGAAAUCUCUGGUCAAGAUAUAGCCUUGAAGUUAGUACUCCAUACAAAUCACCUUGAAUUUGAGGGCUAAGGUAUUGUAACUGAUGAGAUGUUAUGAAUGGGACUCUGGCCAUGCAUUUAGAUA
rnacentral:misc_RNA from 1 species